rnacentral:rRNA from 1 species
UACGUAGGGGGCAAGCGUUGUCCGGAAUCAUUGGGCGUAAAGAGCGUGUAGGCGGUCCGAUAAGUCCGCUCUGAAAGCCCGGGGCUCAACCCCGGGAGGCGGGCGGAUACUGUCGGGCUAGAGUCCGGAAGAGGCAAGUGGAAUCCUGGUGUAGCGGUGAAAUGCGCAGAUAUCAGGAGGAACACCGAUGGCGAAGGCAGCUGCUGGCCUACCUGACGCUGAGGAGCGAAAGCGUGGGGAGCGAACAGG